CCACCCCCAUCAGGAUGCUGACCCUGAAAUGGCCCAGUUCCAGCUGUUGUUGAUGGCUUCAUCACUUUCACAAAUAAUGACCAUGGUGCAUGGUCUAGGAAAGGAGAGGUUAUCUUCCAGACUGUUUUGCAGACAAUGGGAUUGGACUCAGUCUUACUAGAUGAAAGCUGCAGCCUGGAAGUAACUAAUUCUGUCUUUGUUGGCGAAGAUCACAGUGUUGGAUCUUGGGGAGGACAAAAAGCUCCUGGGGGAGAGGCGCCAAUGGUGAAUGUAGGACACCGCCCUGAAACGAGUUGCUGUCAGAAGUAGACAUUCAAAUGAUGUACCUUUGGAUCCAGAUUCAAUUGCUCAGGAUGGCAGAUGUAGAUGUCAGGGUGGCUUUUGAUAAGGCACUUUUGCUAUACUUGGAUAUAAAGGAGACUCCAAUCCCUUUUGGAUUAAAAGCAGCAGUCAAGCCGCUGAUCAGAAAUCCAGGUGUCUCCAAUGCUAUAACCCCCUGAGACUGAGAGUACAGAUGAUGGACGAUGUGACAAGACUUUUGGGGAACAACCCAGGAUGCAAUUCUGCAAACUCUUGAAAGCUUGCUAAAUCUGCUAUAUCCUGCAUUGCCUUAAUUGCAGGAUGGCUGCAUGAUAUCCUGAGAUGGUUGUUAAAGGCUUUUUAUUGGAAAGUGCCUUGGAAAAAUAACAUUCAUUUUACAACCAAU